rnacentral:rRNA from 1 species
CCUACGGGAGGCUGCAGUGAGGAAUAUUGGUCAAUGGGCGCGCGCCUGAACCAGCCAAGUAGCGUGAAGGCUGACUGCCCUACGGGUUGUAAACUUCUUUUAUAACGGAAUAAAGUGAGGCACGUGUGACUUUUUGUAUGUCCUUUAUGAAUAAGGAUCGGCUCACUACGUGCUCGCAGCCGCGGUAAUACGGAUGAUCCGAGCGGUAUCCGGAUUGAUUGGGUUUAAAGGGAGCGUAGAUGUGUUGUUAAGUCAGUUGUUAAAGUUUGCGGCUCAACCGUAAAAUUGCAAUUGAUACUGGCAGUCUUGAGUACAGUAGAGGUAGGCGGAAUUAGUGGUGUAGCGGGGAAAUGCUUAGAUAUCACGAAGAACUCCGAUUGCGAAGGCAGCUUACUAAACUGCCACUGACAUGGAGGCUCGAAAGUGUGGGUAUCAAACAGGAGUAGAUACCCCUGUAGGC